AGGUUAGUGUUUGUGUUUGAGUGGUGGCGGCGAGAGUGCUGACACUCUCUCCUGAAAUUCUUCACUUGCAACACGACAGUGACUGAUUUUAUCGGUCGCUAUGUGUAUUGGCGAUAGGCAAGGUUGUGCAACAGGUGCCCCAAUCAGCCGUCCUCUGACUUGAGGUGCAUGCUCUACCAAGUGUAUUAUGGAUUGUCCUUAAAGACCGGAAGAAUACAAGGCAGGCAACUGUUGGCAAUCUCCGUGGCUACCACUCGAGUACAAGGAAUACCGUGGCAAUGUGGUGACCAGUUGGUAGGCUUCAAAAAGCUGUUGUCUGCAAUCUCCUUGAUGUCGUCAAUGUGUCCACUGAACCAUGGCAGAACAGAAAAGGAAAAUGGCAAUAUGUCCCAAGUUGAAGUGCAGUUAUUGGAGAACGAUGUUGUAUCCAGAGAGUGAGAAACCAGACAUGAGUCGCCUGCGGGCUGGGGAUUCUUCACCUGCUGUAUGAACGUGCCUGUGCCUUGGUGUUCAUCGCAGAUCUCUGCAGUCAGUAGGAAAAGGAGCUGGUGGCUGAGCAGACAGAACAUGUGAUCCUGGGUACCGGCGAGAAACAAUGGGCAUAGUUUCUUUCACCCUGAUGCCCCUGUUACCUGGGAGUUUGUCAUUGGGACACUAAGGCCUGAAAUCAUCAAGAUGAUAGUGAUUUGUCCGUCAAUAGAAUGUGAAUGCAUUGAUAUAGAUUGUAUGAGCGUACAACGUGAACAGUAGCACUGAGGAAUUGUUUUUAGACAUAACCUCGAUGAUGAAGAUGUCUUAAGGUGACACGAGUUUAGCAUGAAGGACUACAGAUUAUAUCACAAAACUAAUUGACAUGUGUUGUAUCAUAUGAUAAAUAUAUGUCAAAGCUGGUCUAUUUACAAGUAGGUAACACACAUAUUUGAUGUAUAAAUGUACUGUAGUAGAAUGUGAUACAUAUGACUUACAGUAGAAAUGUGUUGUUAAAUAGUAAAUGAGCUUGUACAUAUAAUAUACAUUGUCAUAAUCAGGUUGAUAGGGUAAAGUUUAAAAAAAUAUGGCUGCUAGUAAGAAGCCUGUAUGUUUAAUGACAUAUGAAAAUACAUAUAUAUUUGGUAUUGGUGAAAACAUUAGUUAGUUUUGUAAAUAUUUGUCUUAGAGUUUGGAUUGAAGAGGCAAUAACUGAGGUCAAAGGUGAGCUAGGACGGAUAUUUCAGCAUCACUGGAGGUGGGUUGAGAUGAUGGUGUAAUGUAAUUUGAACCUGAUACUGUGACAACAACAGCAUCGGAACCAAUGACUUGUGAUGAAUCUGUAGUCUGUACAAUGGUAACGGUAUUGUCGUCUUUACGACACUCUUUCUUGGCCGGUGGUAUUGAGGAAUGCUCCUCCAUGACGGCUAGCUUUUCUCUCUGUAGUAGCUGCGCAGCACGUAGUGAACCUUGUUGUGAAGGUGGUGCCGCAGUAGAAUAUAUAGAGUCGUGGGAGAGGAAUGAUAAGCACGAGGGAUCCCUUGAGUGUGCAAUGGAGGCGCCUGCUGGAUGAGAUGAGGGCAUGGCGUCAGGGUUUUGUGACACAGAGCCUUCUCUAGACCGAUAACUCGGGGGAUGACUAUAGUUGCUCUCUCGACCCAGUGUGUUGACUGUUAAUCUGAUAUAAAGAGAAUAAUAUGAGUAAAAGGUAAUUGGUGUGUGAAAUAGGACAGAUAUACAUAUGUAUGUUUUAGUACAAUGGGUAAAUAGUAUAACAUGGCAAACACAGUAGUAAAUAAACAAAUUUACUAACCCUCUAAGAUUAUGAGGGCCAGAUCGAUAGGUUGGGGGUGGUGACGGUGCUUGAGGAUUUGCAGUGUGUCCCUGGUGCCGAUCUAAUAGUAGCAACCGCAGCCUGUAUUCUUGCAUUGAAGCUUGGUAACUCGGAGGUGGAGGACGGUACUGGAAUUCUGGGUACAUCAUUGCUGAAAUUAGUUGAUAGUAUAAAUUGUAUAACCAAUGGCAGGAAGUAAUAUUGCUUGUGAUAGUUAUGUAUUUGAUAUGACACUUUGAUGUAUGGUUAGACUGAAUAUAGUUUCACAUAUUAAAUAACAGGAUAAUGUUAUUAAUGGAUAACAGGAUAAUGUUAUAAUAAAGUGCACACAGAUGUAGUCUGUAAAGGGGGGGCGGGGGACAUGGUUCCUGUAUUGUUUUUGUUAACCAUGUGUAUAAAAUGCAUAGUGUUUCAUUAUAUGUUAUGUUAGCAUAUAAAGAAAUGAUAUUUAAAUGAAAAUGUGAACAAGGCUGAAAAAAAGUACUUAUGGGUUAGUCUACAAAAUAUAUAAAAAAUACUUGAAUUAAGCACCCUGAUAUCAUAUGGUUCAUGGGCAUUGCUUUAAUAAUGAGUUGCACACGUCUCAUAGACGUUGUUACAUGUAAUGUAACACUACAUUAGCUACAUGUAAUGCAGGAAAUAUAACAUUUAGACAGAAAUCACAUAUAUAAUAUGUCUUUCU